rnacentral:rRNA from 1 species
CACAAGAGACCCAAAUUAACUGUACUACGGCGUAAAGAGUGGUACCAUGCUAUCCUAACAACUAAGAUCAAAGUGCAGCUAAGCCGUCAUAAGCCCAAGAUGCAUCUAAAAACACCCUCAAAACGAUCUUAGCACUUCCGACUGAUUAAAUCCCACGAAAGCUAGGGUACAAACUGGGAUUAGAUACCCCACUAUGCCUAGCCCUAAAUCUUGAUACUCUCUACCACUAAAGUAUCCGCCCGAGAACUACGAGCACAAACGCUUAAAACUCUAAGGACUUGGCGGUGCCCCAGAUCCACCUAGAGGAGCCUGUUCUGUAAUCGAUAACCCACGAUACACCCAACCUCCCCUUGCCUAAAACAGCUUAUAUACCGCCGUCGCCAGCCCACCUCCCCUGAGAGCCCAACAGUGGACAUAAUAGCCCCACCCCGCUAGCAAGACAGGUCAAGGUAUAGCCUAUGGGGUGGAAGAAAUGGGCUACAUUUUCUAAGAUAGACAACUUUCACGGAAAGGGACAUGAAAUCGUCCCCAGAAGGCGGAUUUAGCAGUAAAGAGGGAUAAUAGAGCCCUCUUUAAACCGGCCCUGAGGCACGUACAUACCGCCCGUCACCCUCCUCACAAGCUAUACGCACACAUAACUAAUUCCAACCCAUCAGCUGAAGACGAGGUAAGUCGUAACAA